AUAAAUUAGUAAUUAUCGACAGAGGAUUUGCUCAGAAAUCGUUCGAAAUACAAGAAUUAUAAUGUUGACAAAAGUGAUUUGACUCGUUCUCGCAUGGCUGAUAUCUCGGCAUGAUCGAAUGAUUGGCGAAAAUCAGGAGUUUUCAUCAACAUCUCUCCAGUCAAUGGUUCCUAGAAAAUGGUAUUAGAACUAUGUUCUUAUUCCAGAUGGCGACUUUCCUAGUGAAUGAUUUUGCACACUCCCAAAGUUCCCUGAUAUGAAUAAGACAAAGCAUACAUGUACAGUAUGUAAAAAGGAGACAAAAUGAAUUAUGGUGAAUGCCAGAUUAGUAAUGACCAGAGUGACCUGAAAAAUAUUUUAUGAUUGUAUAAUUGUUGUAUUUUGAUUGCAGUUGCAUUAUUAUAUAUUUAAGUUACAGAUACAAAUACAACAGAUACAAAUUGACACACCUGUCAUUUCUGGGAACCUUUUUUUCAGCUCCAUUUGCUGUUGUGAUGGUUUUAUGGGUAGAUGACCUGAGCUUGGUACAGAAAUAGCUUGACAAUGCAAUGGUGGAUUGUUUCACAUUUUCAUCAGCAUAUUCAAAUUUGAGAAAAGCUUCAAUAAUGAGGUCGCUGACAAGACAGCCUGGAUUUAAACAUUGAAGUUCAGCUGGAAUCAGGAGAUUUCUGUACAUGUUUCUCCAGUUAUCAGAUGUGGCAUGUAGACAUGAGUGGAAAUUCUGUUGCUCUUCUUGUUCUCCAUCCUCUAUCGUUACUACUGGAACAUUGACCUUGUACAUUUUCUUUAGCAUAUUUGCCCUUGUACCAACGCGAUUUCGAUGCCACCAAUCCAACCGUUUUUUUCCUGUUUUUUUCAUCUUUGCUAUGCAACCGAUAUUCUUUAACUUUUCCAUUUUUCGUUUACUGUUUUCCUUUCUUGACUUUUUUGGAGAAGCACGAAUAUAUAUCCCUUCACUGCUCUUUGGCACAGUGGCACUGAGCUUAGAAAUAAGGGUCUGCAGCUCUUUCGUCACAUCACUCAAAACGUCUGCAUCUUGGCUUAGGUAAGUCAGUUCUUUAAGUUGCUGUAAUGUAGCCCUUGUUAUAUUUGCUGCAUGUUUUGCAGUAUCUCGUACGAUUGUCCUUUUUUGUGGAAGUUGUCCCACAGCAACUGGUUGUACAUUUUUGCUGUCUUGGCUACUUGACUCGAUGUUGCAACUUACCUGACUCAAUGGAAUGAAUUUCAACAACUGAGAAGUCGGUCAUAAAAUUUGCUGGCUUCCAUUCAGGAUUCCACUCCCGCAAGACGUGAAGUGCUUCACUUACUUGCUCUUCCGUUUCAUCUUGAACAACAAAAUCUCCUAAAAAAAGUGUUGUAUAUUGCUUAAAAACAAUUGGACUUCACAAUGCACCGUGCACCAGCAGCAGUCAAUUGCCAGCGUGGGAGUUAACAUAAGCAAAUGAUGUUGAAAAUGACCAUAAUAGACUAUAGUUGUUGUUGUCUUUGUAUGGAAUGAAAAACGGGCUAGUAAAAGAAGGAGAUUAAGUUUAUUGUCUUGCUUCACUGUUACUUCUACCUUCAUCUUAGUUUUUUUUUACCUUUCUCUGCUUUUAAAACAUACGGGCAUGUAUGUUCAUUUUUCCUCUAUUUUAUUUUAUUUAGGUAUUUUUUGACAAACAUGUAUGCAUGCGCAUUUUAUAAGAUGCAAAACUGCAAUAAAUACCGACAACUGCGUAUCCGUUGUUGGUUUUUACACAAACAAAGAAGAAAGGAAAGGCAUAGUUGGUGGUUUUGUACGUAGCAUCAAGGAGUGAAAUCUCGUUGCCAUAUUUGACCAUCAGACGUUGUUGCCACUGUUCCUGAUGAACAUAUAAAAGUUUCUGGCUUGGCUCUGCCGUUUCACUUUCUUCCUUCACUGUACACAUGCGUAAGUGAAACUUUGAUGUGGGGUUUUUGCUUGUCCAUUCGUCAAUCAUUUUUUGCAAAUUCACCUGAUCCAGUUUGCUAAGUUUUUGUUUGUUGGUAGCUGAGUAGAUAUGAUUGAUGAUGUCUGUGCUGGUUGGAUAAAAUGACCGGUUAAGUGUUGAGGGCCUUGGACUUUUAUCAUCUUGGAACAAUAUGUUUUCCACAUGGUAGUACGCCGUAUUGCCGUUAGAGUUUGAUGAAUGUUUAAAAUCAGUAUGCCUCACCUGCUGCAACAAGCUCGUGGAUUUUCUCUAUUAUAAGCGGAUGGACCCCAUUGGAAAUGCCGCACACUUCUCCGUGUGGGUGGUUUGUGUGUGCUUGCUGGUUUGGAACUUUGACAAAAAACCUCUUUAUUUUUUUAAUUUGCGCUUCAUUGUGUUCUUUAUCGAUUUUUAACUUUUUCAAGAGCGAUGGUUUAAUGACUCGUUCCAUCUACAAUAAUUUGGACACAACGCAAUUAGUGUUGAGGCUGGCUUUAAGAUGAUUAGUUCCUUUAAGCAACGUCAUAUACAUUGUUAAAAAUUUGUUGAGUAAAUUUGAUUUUUCUUUGUUUAACUCCCACAGUCUCACCUGGUGUUUGUUGUUACAGGAUGUUGGAACGAUGUAGUCUGGAUACACGGUUAACUCCCUAACAGUGAUCUGGGCCUUACACCCAAGCUUUUUAGUUGGCUGCACUCGAAAUCGUCUUUUUUGGCCAGUUGGAUGGCCGUUGAUUCCCUAUAGUAUAGGUUGAAGUGUACUGCAGUUAAUGUUGAAAAUGAUUUGUUCAAAAGUAUAUUAUCUAUUAUAAUUACGUUAUAGGUGUGGUUCGAGUUUAUAGAGUUUAAUAUUUCAGGUUUCAAGACUACGUACCUCCUCAGAAUCUCUAUUUGUCGGCCUGCAGGGUCCAUAAAUACACUCUAGUAACCGUAUUCCAUUGAUACAAAACGGAGUGCCAAAAAAUGGUAUGGAUAGAUCACCAACAUUGCUGCUCCAUCUCAAACUACCUUUAAUAACAACAAUUAUUACAAAAAAUGUUGAUAAUUUUAUUUAUAAUUAUAUAUUUACAACAACUGAUGAGUAACGUGAGUUAUGAACAAAAUUUAUAGUGAGUGAGAAGUGGAACUUUCGUCGAAACAAUACAAUUUUUCACGUGUAAAAUACUAUAAGUGCAAUACGUCGUAUCAGUUUAA